rnacentral:misc_RNA from 1 species
CGCACAUUGCGCCCUCUGGUAUUCCGGGGGGCAUGCCCGUUCGAGCGUCAUUACACCACUCAAGCCUCGCUUGGUCUUGGAGGUAGCAGCUGCAAUAUCGCCGCUCCUCUUGAAUUAGUCGGCCGUUCACUGUUAACUCCUCGGCGUUGUGCAAGCAAUAUCGCUCAAGGAGUUCCGGUAGACGUCGCCGUUAAAAUCACUCAAAAAGGUUGACCUCGAAUCGGGUAGGGAUACCCGCUGAACUUAA